rnacentral:rRNA from 1 species
UAGGGAAUCUUCCGCAAUGGGCGAAAGCCUGACGGAGCAACGCCGCGUGAGUGAUGAAGGUCUUCGGAUCGUAAAACUCUGUUAUUAGGGAAGAACAAAUGUGUAAGUAACUAUGCACGUCUUGACGGUACCUAAUCAGAAAGCCACGGCUAACUACGUGCCAGCAGCCGCGGUAAUACGUAGGUGGCAAGCGUUAUCCGGAAUUAUUGGGCGUAAAGCGCGCGUAGGCGGUUUUUUAAGUCUGAUGUGAAAGCCCACGGCUCAACCGUGGAGGGUCAUUGGAAACUGGGAAACUUGAGUGCAGAAGAGGAAAGUGGAAUUCCAUGUGUAGCGGUGAAAUGCGCAGAGAUAUGGAGGAAAACCAGUGGCGAAGGCGACUUUCUGGUCUGUAACUGACGCUGGUGUGCGAAAGCGUGGGGAUCAAACAGG